AAAAGAAAGAGGCACAACCGAAGCGAUUGAAAUAGAUGGAAAUCAGUUUGCUCUGCUUUCUCAGGUUCGGGGAUUCUGUCCCUGGUGGUGGUGGCUCACAGGGGCUGGAAGGUCUGACGGCUGUGUGUUGUCACAGCUGCACGUAGUGCUGUGUUUGGCACCAGGACUUUUGGAUGGUGCCAUAAGUGCCAUCAGCUCUUUCCUUGUUGUUUUCCUAAAAUACCCGUGGUGGCUCAGAGAUGUCAGCCACGCUGACGUUUCAAUUGCCAUGUUGGUUUUUACACCUCUGCUUGAGACGAUUCAUGUGCUCUAAGCAAUCGUUUCAGGUUCUCUGCAGACCCCAAGAAGAAUGCGUGUCACGUUUGUAGAGCUGCCAUAACAAUCAUGGGGAAGAGACAUCUGAUAAAGCAACGUUCUGCCCAAGGAUGAAAGCUGUAGAUGAGAUCUGUCGAAGCAAAGAACUGAGGAUCCAGCACACCUGGGGCUCAGGAGCAGCCUUAAUGAGGAGCAGAUCUCUGACUGCGGUGUCUAUAAACAAGUUGGCGAUGAGCAUGUUGGUCUGUACCAGAGCUCAGGUUUGUUCUUAAUAUCUGAGCUGCGCGUGAUUGUCUUGAGAGCUCAUUAAACCUAAUCUCAUAUCACUUGUAGGAAGCAGAAAGCUGAAUCAGCUAAGGACUGGUCCAGACUUUGAACCAUGUAAGUCUGAGACUGAUCUUCCCUUAGAAGAGGCUCCACUGGCCUCAGCUUAUUGUAAACUCUUUGGACAAGGAUGUGUAUUUGGACAGCAUCCAGCGUGGUGGGACCUUCUCUUCAAGCAUUGCCACUGUGAAAACAGUACACAAUAGCCAUCGUAUGCAACAUAUGGAAAGUUGUGAUAAGAAUGUCUUUCAAGCCUCUUAAUUAGAUGUGAUUUGUUGGCCAAAGGAGCACUUCAGAGGUGAGCAGCUUCGGCAUUUGCUGCACCUUAAGGGAUGGGGUGAAGGAGCAAAAGCCCAAAGGGCCUCCAGUGAGCAUUCGUGUCAGCCCAGCAGUGCAAGGGGUGAAGCUGGAACCAGGGUGCUUGGGGCCAAAGCCAAUGGGCAUCUUCCCUGGAAGCACAGGGAAGGAGAAACAGUAGGACUUUAUCUUAACUGUGCAAAGCUUCAGCAAGUGAGGGGGGGAAAAAAAGAAAGAGAAG
ensembl:lncRNA